AAAAAAGAAAGACAGGGUUCUCUGCAAGUUCUGCACUCGUGGCAAAGGACUAACGUAGCAGAGGACAACUGGCAACUCUUUGCGUCGACAGUCGACACCAAAGAUAUCCAUUCCCCCGGCCAAACACCCUCUUGAAAAACCCACAGGGGCUUCUCUCAAUUUCCACCAUCUCUCUCUCUCUUCUCCGUCACUUGUCUUAAGUUUGAGCUUCCAGCCUUUUGCUUUCGUCCCUCUACUUUGGCUUUGUUGGGUUAUGCGAAGAAUAUAUAUAUAAUUCAAGAAAAUGUGGUCGGCUGGUCUCAUUCAAAACCUCGCCAAUGAUCACUUCCACGUCGUCUCCAUAUCGGUUUUCGUCGCUGUGCUCUGUCUCUGCAUUGUCAUCGGCCACUUGCUUGAAGAAAAUCGAUGGGUCAACGAGUCCAUCACUGCAAUUUUGAUAGGAUGCAUUACUGGAACCAUAAUCUUGUUUUGGAGCAAGGGUACAAAUUCUCACAUCCUAAGAUUUGAUGAAGAAUUAUUCUUCAUAUAUCUUCUCCCACCCAUAAUCUUCAAUGCUGGAUUUCAGGUUAAGAAGAAGCAGUUCUUCCGUAACUUUAUAACUAUCAUGCUAUUUGGAGUGGUUGGUGUUUUUAUUUCUUCAGCCAUCAUAACAGCUGGCAGCUGGUGGCUGUUUGCAAAAAUUGGCUUUUCUGGCCUCCUUGCACCGGAGUAUCUUGGAAUUGGAACAAUAUUCUCAUCAACUGAUACUGUCUGUACGCUACAGGUCUUGAAUCAAGAUGAGACUCCUCUACUUUAUAGCCUAGUUUUUGGGGAAGGAGUGGUGAAUGAUGCUACCUCAGUUGUUCUCUUCAAUGCUGUCCGGAAACUAGAUGUUUCUAAACUUGAUGUUUGGGUGGCAGUUUUUGUACUUGGAGACUUCCUCUACCUAUUUUUAUCAAGCACUGUCCUCGGAGUUGCUACCGGACUAUUGACUGCAUAUGCUCUUAAAUCCUUAUACUUUGGUAGGCAUUCAACUGAUCGUGAAAUCGCUCUAAUGGGUCUAAUGGCGUAUCUGUCCUACAUGCUCGCUGAGCUGCUACAACUUAGUGGGAUUCUUACAGUCUUCUUCUGCGGGAUUGUGAUGUCACAUUAUGCGUGGUAUAAUGUGACUGAAAAUUCAAGAAUCACAACCAGGCACCUGUUUGCAACAAUGUCGUUCAUUGCAGAAACUUUCAUCUUUCUUUAUGUGGGAACGGAUGCUCUUGACAUUGAGAAAUGGAAAAUGAGCAAGACAAGCUUCAAGACAUCAAUGGGUAUAUGUUGUAUGAUAAUAUUUCUGAUAUUGCUUGGACGUGCUGCAUUUGUGUUUCCUCUGUCUGCUUUGUCUAAUUAUACGAGUAGAAGUGCCGAGAGAACACCAAUUACAUUCAAACACCAGAUUAUAAUUUGGUGGGCUGGGCUUAUGAGAGGAGCUGUCUCUAUUGCUCUGGCUUACAGUCAGUUCACAUUCUCAGGCGUUACAUGGAAUCCAGUUCAUGCUACAAUGGUAACCAACACUGUCAUUGUUGUUCUCUUCACUACACUGGUGUUUGGCAUUUUGACAAAACCACUUAUAAAUGUACUGCUUCCUCAUCAUGCAAUGGGAAACCAUCACCAUCAAGAUCCAGAUUCCCACUAUGAUGAGCUCAAGUUUCCUUUGCACAACUUUGAAGAAUCUGCCACGUCCGAUAUCCUCAGUGCACAGAGUAGCUUCUCCAUGUUAAUAGAAAGGCCUGUAUACACCAUACACUUCUAUUGGCGGAAGUUUGACAAUGCCUUCAUGAGACCAAUAUUUGGUGGGCCUAGCUGAUGAUACAAAGACAGGUAGGUGGGUUAUCGCAAGGUUUUAAAAACACCUUGCAUGUUAAGGUGACUGCCACUUAUAUCGACUUUCUGUGACUGAAGAACUUACGUCGGUGGCUCAACAAAAAAACCAACAGACCCCAACCCCCCAAACAAAUUGAAAACUCUAGGCGGAACCAUUGUUCCUCUCCAAUGACUUUCAGCAUGUUACAUCAUUUUUAAGCUAUUUUGGACAAAUUUCAUGCGUUAAUUGUUGGUGUAAGAUGUCUUGUAUUUCGUCAUUUAAUCUAGGGAGAACUGGUGUAGGUGUCCUGAACUCCUGAUAGAACAGAACCAGCGGUGUAAUCUUAUUUUCCAUUGAUAGUGAAAUAGAAUCUCAUCUUACUGAGGAUGUAGGUUAGCAAAUAUGCAAAGUCGCUGUCUUGCUAAGUGGGCUUCAUGGUAUGCUUUCUUCAACAUGGGGUCAUGGAAGUACUCCUGCUUUGCAAAGGACCUACCACGUACCAAUUGUAACUUUAUUCCCCCCCAAGUGGAUGAAUAAAAUCUCUCUCACAGCUGUUUGCACCCAAAAAAAAUUAUAAAGUUGGGCUUGUUGGCCUUCCCCUAAUUGGUCUCUGACUAUAGGCUUUAGCUGAAAACCAAAUACAACUCUUCUGCUAUUCAGUAUCACUUAUUACCCAUCAGAGAAAAAGAUAGAUUAAUUAUCUACAAAUAAGCAGUUCCAACUUUAUAGAUCCUUGGCUUGUUGAUCUUGCAUGGAGAAGCUAUACUUUGUCUUUUUGUCAUGUUCUUCCCUUUCUUUGGUGAAAAAAAAAUGUUCUUUUCUUCCCUCUUUA